rnacentral:rRNA from 1 species
CCUACGGGUGGCUGCAGUGGGGAAUAUUGGACAAUGGGCGAAAGCCUGAUCCAGCCAUGCCGCGUGUGUGAAGAAGGCCUUCGGGUUGUAAAGCACUUUCAGUGGGGAAGAAAGCCUUGGGGCUAAUACCCUCGAGGAAGGACAUCACCCACAGAAGAAGCACCGCCUAACUCCGUGCCAGCAGCCGCGGUAAUACGGAGGGUGCGAGCGUUAAUCGGAAUUACUGGGCGUAAAGCGCGCGUAGGCGGUCUGAUAAGCCGGUUGUGAAAGCCCCGGGCUCAACCUGGGAACGGCAUCCGGAACUGUCAGGCUAGAGUGCAGGAGAGGAAGGUAGAAUUCCCGGUGUAGCGGUGAAAUGCGUAGAGAUCGGGAGGAAUACCAGUGGCGAAGGCGGCCUUCUGGACUGACACUGACGCUGAGGUGCGAAAGCGUGGGUAGCAAACAGGAUUAGAUACCCGAGUAGUC